rnacentral:rRNA from 1 species
AACGAACGCUGGCGGCAUGCCUAACACAUGCCAGUCGAACGAUACCUUCGGGUCUAGUGGCGCACGGGUGCGUAACGCGUGGGAACCUGCCCUUAGGUUCGGAAUAACUCCCCGAAAGGGGUGCUAAUACCGGAUAAUGUCGUCGGACCAAAGAUUUAUCGCCUUUGGAUGGGCCCGCGUUGGAUUAGCUAGUUGGUAGGGUAAAAGCCUAGCAAGGCGACGAUCCAUAGCUGGUCUGAGAGGAUGAUCAGCCACACUGGGACUGAGACACGGCCCAGACUCCUACGGGAGGCAGCAGUGGGGAAUAUUGGACAAUGGGCGAAAGCCUGAUGCAGCAAUGCCGGGUGAGUGAUGAAGGCCUUAGGGUUGUAAAGCUCUUUUACCCGGGAUGAUAAUGACAGUACCGGGAGAAUAAGCGCCGGCUAACUCCGUG